GACGAACGCUGGCGGCGUGCCUAAUACAUGCAAGUAGAACGAGUUGCGAACGGGUGAGUAACGCGUGGUAACCUGCCUCAUAGCGGGGGAUAACUAUUGGAAACGAUAGCUUAUACCGCAUACCAUCUGAUGUGCCCAGUAGGGAUUAGCCUGUGUGUGGGGUAACGGCUAACCAAGGCGACGAUCCCUACCUGGUCUGAAGGGAUAACCAGCCACACUGGAACUGAGACACGGUCCCGAUUCCUACGGGAGGCGGCAGUGGGGAAAAUUGCACAAUGGGCACAAGGCGGAUGCAGCCAUGCCGCGUGUAUGAAGAAGGCUUUCGGGUUGUAAGGUACUUUCAGCGGGGAGGCGUUACCCGCAGAAGAAGCACCGGCUAACUCCGUGCCAGCAGCCGCGGUAAUUC
rnacentral:rRNA from 1 species